GAUGAACGCUGGCGGCGUGCCUAAUACAUGCAAGUCGAGCGAACAGACGAGGAGCUUGCUCCUUCGACGUUAGCGGCGGACGUGUGAGUAACACGUAGGUAACCUACCUAUAAGACUGGUAUAACUUCGGGAAACCGGAGCUACUACCGGAUAAUAUUUCGAACCGCAUGGUUCGAUAGUUAAAGAUGGCUUUGCUAUCACUUAUAGAUGGACCUGCGCCGUAUUAGCUAGUUGGUAAGGUAACGGCUUACCAAGGCAACGAUACGUAGCCGACCUGAGAGGGUGAUCGGCCACACUGGAACUGAGACACGGGCCAGACUCCUACGGGAGGCAGCAGUAGGGAAUCGUCCGCGAUGGGCGAAAGCCUGACGGAGCAACGCCGCGUGAGUGAUGAAGGUCUUCGGAUCGUAAAACUCUGUUAUUAGGGAAGAACAAACGUGUAAGUAACUGUGCACGUCUUGACGGUACCUAAUCAGAAAGCCACGGCUAACUACGUG
rnacentral:rRNA from 1 species